UUUCCCGGAAAUGAACAAGCCUACUUGAGGACGGUACCGCUUAACCUUUUCAUAAAGAAUACGAGCACCAUCUUGCAUUUCCUCUUUGCGUAGAUCCGCUCCACUAGACGAAGGUCUCGCACAAAGAUUAGUUAUACCUAAACCAUGAGCAGGUAAAUCUUUAUCGUUAAGGUACGUGAAUUCGGCAUUUCCCUCCAAAAGUUUGCUUUUAUUAAGCAUUUUCCAAAAUCUAUUGCUAGGUGAAGCAAAUGCGUGUCCUUUAAGAGAAGAAGUAAUACCUGGAUUGAGUCCGACAAUGAUGGCAUACGGAUUCUCGCAAAUGUAAUCUG